AACUUUUUUUUUUUUUUUUGCUAUGUGUUUGAUUUUCCUGUAGGCCCAUAACCUAUCUAAUCUCAGAUUCUUAGCCACGCAAGCAGUUUCAGGCAUGGGCUCCAUUUCAUGGAGUGGGUUUUGAAUCCAAUCAGAUAUGACUGGUUACUCUCACAACAUUUGUGCCACUAUUAUACCAGAUUACCAUGCAGGCAGAUCACCAGUAAAGAUUGCCAGGAUUGUAGCUGGGUUGAGGUUUGCCUUGCUCCUUUGGCAGUGUGUAGAGUACCUUCCAGUACCAUGAACACGAGUCAGUAGGGCUGAAGGUUCUAAUUAGAUGCCAGCUUGACUUCUCCAUGUUCAGUGAGAUAUUUAAGUAUUGUCUUCAACGGUCGGACCUUACUGUUGGUUUGUUGGAAGCAACCAUUAGCCUUGGCAAAUAGCCUGAGAUGUUUGGGGUUUCCAUGGGACUCCCUUUAGCCAACAACUCAAUUAGAUAUAACCCAUUCCAAGCUCUGGAGAUUUCACUUGUUGGAAAAAGAUACCUAGUUGGGGCAUCUAUUGAUUUACAUACAUUUGUAAUUUCUCUCAGAAAGUUUCUGAUUAUUCUUUUCUAGUUAUUUUGAAAUAUGCCAUUAGUCGUUGUGGAUUAUAGAAACACUAUUAUUAUGGAAGACCAGGACUGCUUCCUGCUAUCUAACCAAACUUUGAUACCCAUUAGGUAUCCUCUUUCAGUACCCCACAUCUCCACUCUUCUUAGUUCCUAUGGCCAUGGUUCCACUCUCUUCUUCUAUGAGAUUGAUGUUUCGGUAUUUGACUUUUUGUGCCUGGUUUAGCUCACUCAGCACCAUCAAUGCCAUCCAUGUUGCUACUGAUAACAGAAUUCCACACUUCUAUGGCUGAAAAGUACCUUUCAUAUACCUGUCACAUUUUCUUUAUUUAUUCAUCCAUCAGUGAGCAUCUUGGUUUAUUCUGUAUCUUGGUUAUAGUGCUGAACUAAAUUAUAUUCCUCAUAAUGGUUUUGUUUCUUCCAUAUAUUUACCCAGCAGUGGGGUGGUUUGCAUGUGUCAGUUCUGGUUUUGGUUUUUAAGCCACCUCCACACUGUUUUCCAUAGUUGUCUGGAUUCAUUUACAUUCUCAUCAACAGUGUGUAAGAGGUUUAUGUUCUUGCCAGCACUUGCAAUCUAUUCCUGAGUGAGGUGAUACCUCACUGUGUUUGGUUGGCAUUUGCCUGGUGGUAGGUGAUGCUGACCAUUUUUUCACAUACUCACUGACUAUUUGUAUGUCUUUUAUUCUUCCUAUGUCCUUCUUCUUUAAUAAGGCAGCGGCAAAGACUGUGUACCCUAAAUAUCUGAGGAAAGGUGACUGACAUGUUAGAAACUUCACUGGGAAAAUGUUGAAAGUUCCUAACGUUUCUGGGACUCUCCACUAAUCCUGCCUCCCUGUAAGAAAAUAGGGUAAUCUGUGCCCAACCAUUUUCAAUAACCUAGGUUUCAUCAAAUGUGGAAUUAAUUAUACAGUAUUCAAAUAGGUGAUCAAAAGACUGUAUCUUCUGUUCUAAAUAGGAAAACUAAUUGCAGAUGAUUGCAAAAAGAAAAUGGCAGGGUGUGUGUGUGUGUGUGUGUGUGUGUGUGUGUGUGUGUGUGUGUGUAGUGAGAUAGAAAAACACAUUGGAAAGAAUGGGCCAUCUCAUUUAGUCUUUGAAAUUAUUGAUUGCAGAUUCCCAGGCCCUGGUUGAGAGGGAGGACGAAAAUGUUGAAGCUGUAACUCUCUGGAACAGGAUCAUUUGCUACCCAAGAAUCUUUGCAUAGUCAUACAAAGUCAGGAAGAUGGGCACAAACAGUGACAGGGGAAGCAUCCGCCUGUCCUGCUGCAGUUGGUCAGGCUCAGGACCACUCUUAGCAAUGAUGGGGAUAGGAAGGUCUGAUGCUUUCUCUUUUACAGGAGAUGCGGUCCAUCUGGGCAUCCUAUGUAGACCUCUUUUCUGCUUCAUUACCAUCAGGCUAACAAAAUCACCCUCCCCACUUUCAGAGUGAAAACACACACACACACACACACACACACACACACACACACCCCUUCAGUCUGAGGCAGCCCACAUUAUCAUCAGGUUAACCAAAACAAACACUUCACAUUAAAAAAAAAAAUGAGUGUCAUUAAUAGGAACUACCUAUGAUAGUAUAAGUGACUAAUUUCCCCCUUCAUCAAUUCGUCCAACUUAUAUGGUGUUCUAUCCAUGCCAUCAAGGAGGCCUUUGGGCCACACAGUGAGUUACACCUUGUCCUCACAGAGCUUUCACUUUAGCGUGUGUGACAGAUAAUAUCCUAGCAAACCACAGUGUGGUAGUUAAGGAAGGGAAGGCUAGAAGUGUAGAUGCAAAGAUGCCUGAGAAGUCCUUAGGACAUCGGUGAAAACUGCCCCAUGUUGCCAAGCAACAAAUGCCUUAUGAAAAGAGGACUCAGACUUAGGGGAAAAUUCCCCUUUAUGCAGACUGGUUUUUUUUGCUAUCCAAGGGCACAGAACCCCUUUUAGAAGUCUACUAUAUUUUUUCCCUCACUGCUACAACACUAUGAUGUGGUUGACUCCAGUGGCCUUGCUGUGACCCCUUGUUUACAGGUCAUGUUGGUUACAUGCCAUUUGACUGCUUCCCUGGGCUUGGUACAAAGGCAGUGCCGGGCGUGGGGCCAGUUGAAGAGCUUGGCCUUCAUCAUUAUCUUUUAACCAAAGCACAAUGUCAGCUCUGUCUCUUUUAUUAUGCCGGUAGCUGCCCUAAUCAAAUUUAACAUUCUUGUCCUUGUGUCCAUUUUCCACAGCUGUCAUUCCUUGCUACUUUCUUACCUAUUUCUUUGGGAAAAAAAAGGUUUUGAACCAAUAUUUCAGAGGCAGAGCUAGAAAUGAACGGAACAGCAAAAGACUUACUUCAAUAGAUUUACUAUAAAAACAGUUAAUAGCAUUGUAACAAAAUAUUAACAGUUGAUUAUGUGGUGAAUAUAGACAAUUUAAGUUUGGGGUCUUGGAAUCUAUAACUUGACCUACAUGCAAAUCAAUGAGUGGGUGAUUGAGAGAGGAUUGGGCGGCUGGAUAUGAAAGAACAAUCAAACAUAUUUAUAAUAUAUAAUACAUACACACAUAUAUAUAUAACACAUGCAUACAUAUAUAUGUACAAAAAAAUCUCUCCAAAAUGAAAGCAAUUCCUAUCCCUUUUUGGAAUAUGUCAUAAGCCCAGUUGCCAUGUCACCUCAGUCAAGCUUCUUGAGUGUUUGGCAUACUGAAUAAAACACUCUCUUAAAAGAACAAAUUCUCUCUGACCAAGAAAAGAAGGAUGUCUAUUGCAUGUCCAAGGAGAGCCAGACACUGGGUCAGUAAGAACUCCAUGUGCAAGAGCACAGAGUAACUCAAGGCUUUGCUUUGAAGGAAGGCUGGGCAGGAAGCAUGGAAGGGAGAUUAGAGAUGGCUGUAAAGGAGAUUUUUCUCUGUGGGAAAUAGGGAGCCAUAGGUGAAGUGGUGGUUUUGAUCACAAAUAGGUAGGUGGAGAAAGAAGUGUCCCAAUGCAUCUUGACCCGCAGAACUAAAAACUUCGUCUCAGUUCAAUUCAGUUCCGCUGGUAAACAUUAAAACUUGAAGGAGGCUGACCUGUGACCCAGCGGCUAGUCCAACGGCCCUCACCUUCAAAUGACUUGAAUGACUUGCCUAUCUUCUUAAAUGACCCUCACAUUACUCAGUGAUAAAGCCCAACACUGAUAUGCUACUUCUCUGGGUCUUAGCUUCUUUAUCUACGAAGUGGGUAGUUACUGUGAUGACAUGGGAAGUGUGUAGUAAAAUGUCUGCCACGUAAGAAUACUAAUAUUAACUAAAUAGCAGCAAUAGUAUUGUUACUUCCCAUACUUUGCCCAAAGUCUGUGCAAGUAGUGCUGAGCCCAGGCUGCUCUUGGGGACGAUAUAGGCCUUCUCAGAAAGUUACAUUUCCUGGGCACUCAAGACUCACUGAAUCUGAAUCUUGAAGUGGCUGGGGACUGAACCCUUAGCAAGCUCUCUGGGUGGUCCUGAUGGGAAGCCCAAAGAUAAGCAACAACUGUUUAUAUUUGAUGCUGUUUAAACUUUGAUUUUCUUGGUCUUUGGAUGAGAACCUAAAAUAUUCUCCAAGUGGUUCAGUCCUUCAAGCGUAGGUGUUAGCACACAAUUUUGGGGUGAAGAGACAUCUACUGAACAUAUGCUGAGCUCCUAGGGGAUUAGAAAUGUACAUUCAUGCCCAAAAGAAAGGGAAUGGGGAUUGGCAAAACUGGGCAGUGGGAUAUUUAUCGUUGGUAGAAAUGAUUAAUUAUGCCUAGUUUUGCACAUACAUUUGCAUGCCUCUUAAUAUAACAUAUGCAAAUCCAUCUUUAAUAGCAUGACUUGUUUGCCAAUGUUGAAUACUAGCUGUAAAUAAUUUCUAUUUUCUGUAGUGUUUAGGAAACUUCAAUAUGGCAUUUUCUGGCAGACCACUUCUAUCUUCUGGAUUUAGCAACAUAUUAAGUAAUCAUCACAAAAACAUUUUUCACUUACUACUAACAAAAGAAGUCUAGACAACAAUUUGUGGUUGCCUAUAAAAACAGAAUAGGGGUCGAGGAUGCCUUGACUAAAGCAAGCGUCUGAAGCAAUGAUCUGCAGCAACUGAGGAGAAGCCAGGCUCCUGGAGUAAUGUGGGCCACUGCGUUAUGGGAUGGUAGCAACAGAUGAGUUUCAAAUGAACGGUAACUUCAUGAGCUGAAGAGUUUGGAGAUUACAAUUAGUACCCAUCAUGUUUGGAGAGGAGUGUCACAGGAAUGGUGUGAGUGAAAACUCCAAGGUUGGAUGUUUCUCAGAAGACAGCCCCAGAGCAAGGACCAUGGUGUAGUUUUUGUUUGUUUGUUUUUUACAAAAAAGCAACUGGGCUGCUGAGCAAGCCAGUGCCCACUGAGCGUCACCUGCGUUUUACUCUUGCUUGAACUUGCAAAUAGAUUCUUUUAUUCAAAUCCCACCAUAAACUAGCUCUACUGAAGGGUGUCUUACUUCUCUCUCUACUCCCUCUCCAGGUCAUCCAUCUGUGCUCUUUGUGGUCGCUCACUCCUCACUGUCCGUCUUUUCCUUUCCCUGCAUCUGUUUCUCAUACUCUGUGUCCCUCAGAGUCUUUAUCCUCCCUUCUCUUCCAAAUACCUUUUUUUUUUUUUUUUUUUUCCGAGACAGGGUUUCUUUGUGUAGUUUUGAGCCUUUCCUGGAUCUCGCUCUGUAGACCAGGCUGGUUUCGAACUCACAAAGAUCUGCCUGGCUCUGCCUCCCGAGUGCUGGGAUUAAAGGUGUGCGCCACCACCGCCCGGCUCAUCCAAAUAUCUUUAAUGAAAAGAUUCACCGUACCUCCCAGGGCUGCAGAUGGAGUGGGUUUCCACGUGGACCACAGCAAAGAAGCUGCCAUAAGUUUUCGUUGGAACUGUUGAUUUCCCGAUUCUCUUAGUCCUCUGCUUCUCCCUUAAAAAGUGAGUGUUGGCUGCAGAUUACUCUCCCGCUGUUCUCAAUGGACCUGGAGUCCUAGUUUAUCAGAAUGUCAGCCUAAAGAGCCACAGUCAAGCCAAUUGGCUGCAAUAAGGGAAGGCUGUUAGUGAAGAAACUGUCUUGAAUAUGAAGUACAGGGGCAGCAGAAAGCAUUUUUAAUAGUUGUUAAUGAAGGAGAGAGAGGUUAGCGUAGUGUACAUGCACUUUAAUCUUGUGCCUUGUUAAACUUCUCAGUUUUAACAAUUGGGGCCAAUUAUGUAUGCUACGAUUCUAGGAUCUAUCUGGGAAUACUUAAAACAUGAAAUCAGGCUCAUUUUCCUAAUUCCAUUUGCUGAAAUGCAUAUCUAUCCCCCUUCCUGUCCCUUAGAAUGUUAAUGAUGAUGUACUCUGGACUAACUUUCAAGUCUUCGUUACAGUUUGGUUUUUUAAAAAUGAACCAUUUGAAUAUUGAAAAUAUUUGGCAAAUAAGCCUAUCAAAUAAAUUUCAUGAAAUUUCUUGUUGAA